GAUGAAGAACGUAGCGAAAUGCGAUACUUGGUGUGAAUUGCAGAAUCCCGUGAACCAUCGAGUCUUUGAACGCAAGUUGCGCCUCAAGCCAUUAGGUUGAGGGCACGUCUGCCUGGGCGUCACAUAUCGUUGCCUGAUGCCAGUUUCCUCGUGAUGGGUGACUGUGCAGGGCGAAUGAUGGCUUCCCGUGAGCAUUGUUGCCUCAUGGUUGGUUGAAAAUUGAGUCCUUGGUAGGGAGCGCCGUGAUAGAUGGUGGUUGAGUGACGAACGAGACCGAUCAUGUGCAUGCUCCCCAAAAUAUGGCCUCUGUGACCCACACGCGUCUUUUGACGCUCAUGACGAGACCUCAGGUCAGGCGGGGCUACCCGCUGAAUUUAAGCAUAUCAAUAAGCGGAGGA
rnacentral:misc_RNA from 1 species